UACAGAGGUCCCAAGCGUUGUUCGGAUUCAUUGGGCGUAAAGGGUGCGUAGGUGGCAUCGUAAGUCGGGUGUGAAAUUUCGGAGCUUAACUCCGAAACUGCAUUCGAUACUGCGGUGCUUGAGGACUGGAGAGGAGACUGGAAUUCAUGGUGUAGCAGUGAAAUGCGUAGAGAUCAUGAGGAAGACCAGUGGCGAAGGCGGGUCUCUGGACAGUUCCUGACACUGAGGCACGGAAGGCCAGGGGAGCAAACGGG
rnacentral:rRNA from 1 species